CUUGCGGAUACAACUGAAUCAAACGAUGACAUCGUUUUCAUUUUUGACGUAACGCAGUUCUGUGUAUUUGGAGGUUUGGGGGAUUUACGCAAAGACGGAAGUAGGACGGUGUGAAUCAUCUAAAGCUAAGACAGGCUUCUCACAAGGUACCUCAAAAGGUCUUUCCCCAACAGUAGAGAUGUUAUGACGCCAGAACUUCAAAAACACCGCUACUGUAAAGUGUUGGUUAAUGUUAUGAGAGACAGCACCUUACAACAAAUGAUUCCACUGAAACUGCCCUUCUCUUCGUAUUGGGAACUUUCUCUUUAAAGCUGCAUAAAAUGACCUCGGAGGUUUGUCCGUUCUGUGGAAAAACUUAUAAAAGACUAAAGAGUCACCUUCCACACUGCAAGGCGGCUCCUCCAACCACCCAGGACGUCACAGCCGCUCAGGAACCUUCUUCCCAUCCGGCUGCAGUGUUGUCCAAAACAACCGCAAAGGCAAAGAAAGCCAAGCAAAUGUCCUCAGUGGCAGCAGAUCUACUACCGGAAAGGAGCAAAAAGGUAUCAUUAAAACCAGUGCAAUUAGCAGCACCAGCUAAUGGGUCAUCUUCAUCAUCAAGUUUUGCAUCUACCCUGCCAUCUUCUAAGAAGACGAAGCAAACACAGACGCUGGUUGAUCAAAUUAGGACAACAGCCCUCUCUACCUCUCCAUCUUCUCCACUGUUCUCUUCCUUGUCAAAGCCAAAGAAGAGUCUCCGUUCUUUGAUAGAAGCAGCAAAAUCUGAAAAUAUUGCAAAAGAAACAUUGAAGGGAACCAGGUCAGCCUCAAAAGAUUCGAGUAGAACCAGUGACCGAACAAAGAUUAAAGCAGUUGCAGACUCAUUUAAAGUCACCAGUGUUUUUUCAGUGCCUGCAGAAAUUAAAGCGAAUGAAGAAUCAAAGAUGAAGGUGCCGAAGAUGAAGGAUGUUUUUUCGACAACCAAAUAUACCUCUGACUUCCUUGACUCUAACGUAAAUAAAAAUAAUACAAGUCGUGUAAGAGAAAACUUCUGGGUGAAUGGUGAGGGGGAGACCAAAGAGAGUUCUGUGAAUGGGUUAUUCUCAAAACCAGGAAAUGGUAACCAGAUGAAAGUUACCCUCCAAGAUGUUAAAGCCACACUCGGCAGAGCCAACAGCCAUCGGCAGUCCGGCCGGCCGAGCAUCCUGUGCCGCAUCACGGCUGCUGACAACCCGAGUAGCGACAUCACGCUCGACACUGAUAUCAGUCGUGCCCCACUUGGAGACCAAAAACAUGCCGCAAACGUUUUGGCAACACCCACAAAUGAGCCAGAUAAGCAGCUCAGCACCGCAAAACAACCGAGAGCACUGCAACUUUUUCAGGAAAAGUCCAAACCACCUUUUUUAAUCCCACCCCAGGAUGCUGAUCAUCAGCUGGAACCAGCUUCAGCAUGUGCAGACGUACAGCAAAGAAGAAGUAGUACGCUGUGCUUGAAUGAGCGCCUGAAGGCAACCCCUUACAAAGGACUCCUCUCAGUACUAGCACCUUUCAACCAGUUCUCCAGCCAUCUUCUCCCUCCUGCUGCAGCACAGUGUUUGCCUGGGAUGGUUGAGGAUUUACAGCACGACUUCAGGAAGAAACACGGUGCUGAAAAGCGGACAGAAGGAUUGCUGACACAGCGGAAUCUGGGCCAGGUGAGACUGAAGGAGCUGCCUGAUUGGCUGGCCAGCAGAACACCUGGACGUCCAAGAGAUGCUGUAGAAAUGGUGCAAAGAGCUCCUCCAGAGUUGGCCUCUAGGGUUCUUCACUGAUUAAUGCACUCCUUGACAGGUCUGUCAGUUUAGGAGGACGCCCAAGACUUGGCUGGCUGUGGUAUUACAGAAGGUACAUUGAUGUAAAGAAAGGCGGCGUCGGUGGACUGAGCAUGCUGCUGGCAGGAUACUGUGUGCUCAGCUACAUCUGGAGUUACCCCCAUAUAAAGUUGAGUCGUUGGAGGAAAUAUCAUUAAUGAUGAAUGAAGCCAACCGUGACUCUGGGGAAAAACAGGAAGUAUCUUCAUUAUUUCGGAUUUACUCCCAACUAUGAAUUUGACUGGGUUUAUAUUUGAGAACUGAUGGCUGAUGUAAGAAUAAAUUAAUUUUAACUACGCAGA